GUAUGUCUCGAUUCAAGAAAGGUAUGUCUCGAGUCAAGACAGGUAUGUCCCGAGUCAAGAAAGGUAUGUCCCGAGUCAAGAAAGGCAUGUCU